AGCUUCGGUAUUCUGACUUGGACUUUGAGGUGAUGCAUACCCGGAAACGGCACUCGGAACUCUACCACGAACUCAACCAGAAGUUCCACACUUUCGACCGCUACCGUAGCCAGUCCUCAGCCAAGGAGAAACCCAGCCCCCCUGGGGGACGCCCUGGCUUGUCCCAGCACAGGAGGCAUCAAAGCUGGAGCACUUUCAAAUCUAUGACACUGGGCUCACUGCCCCCCAAACCUCGAGAACGGCUGGCUCUGCACCGGACAGCAGCCUGGGAGCCCACAGAACCGCCAGACGGCGACUUCCAGACAGAGGUGUGAGUGCCACGCCGGACUGCCCACUGCACAGAAAUAUAUAUCUAUUUUCACACUCCACUUUGGAACUACCAGGAGCCAGCGCCCCUCCCCCUCCCGAGGCUGGGCAGGAGGUGCAGAGGACUCAGCCUGGCUGGGGGCAGCCAGACUGGCAGGGCCUGGGGGCCAGGGCCCCUCCUGGUUCUCAGAGGUCCCUUAGCCACUCACCAGAGCCUCAUCUUUGCCCCAGCCUGUCUGUCCCUGUCCUGGGCUGGGGAGGGGGGAGGGAAACUUUGUUGGGAAUAAACUUCACUCUGUGG
rnacentral:lncRNA from 1 species